ACAAGACUGUUUUGCAUUGAAAACACCAGCAAUGAAAACGAAAUUAAUAGCUUUAUGUGGCUGCAGUUUUACAAUAGUUUUGCUUUUUAAGAUUUAUUUACUGUUGCAUUUCUGUUGUCCAUACAUGGAUUCACUCGAUGUUUUUAUUCUUUUUAGAGGAAGUAAAUGUAUACAGCAGUCAUUUGAAGACCACAAACAUUGAUUGUUAGUGGGGGAGCGUGGGCACCUGUACCCGUGGAUUACUGGAUUAAGCCUGCUUUUAUCAUCUGACCUUCUAUAGUAUAUAGAAAUUAGAAAUUUGCGACUUGUGCCGAAUUGUCAAAUGCAUAACCUUACAUGACAUUUAACAAGAUUGGCAAUUUCCCAGACGGCAAGAGCGAAAUCAAAGGGUAUGCUCUACUGAAAGAGAGGAAAAUAUUAUUAUUCAACGGCAACACCAAAUGUACCGGGUGUCGAGACAUAACCAGCAACAUUAGACAUUAUAGAUUGUACACAUCCAGGACAGGCUAUUGCACAGAUUGAAUUACGACAGUUAAGGAAAAGUCAACGUGAUGAUCCAAUUGUAGGUCUUUGGUUAAGGGCAACUAUAGACAAGUGUUUUCCAAGUAAGAAUUUGAUAUGUAACAAUGGCCAUUUGACAAUGUCAAGGCACUUAAAUAAAUAAGAUAUUAGUUCUUGGAUAGAACAUUGUGGUCGUUGCAAACGUAGGAAAAGUCCUGUAAAUAUUCGUGCACCUCUUGUGAAUAUUGAAAGUAUAUAUUCUUUAGGGCUUAAAAGUACAGAUUUUCUUACAGUUGAUCCAUGUUCAAGCGCAUUCAGAAAUAUACUUGUAAUACCAAACCACUUUAUCAAGUUUGCAGUGGCUGUGCCAUGUAGAAACCAAGCUGCUAAAACCACGGCAGAAGUCCUCAUGAAUAACUUUAUUAUACAUUAUGGUGUGCCUGCUAAACUUUUGUCCGACCAACCAAGGUCCAAACUUCAAUAGUGAAGUAAUUCAAGAGCAAUGUAAGUUAAUAGGGAUACAAAAGGUAUGAACAACUAUAUAUCACCCACAAUGCAACGGCAUUUCAAAAAGAUUUAAUAGAUCAUUGCUAAGUAUGCUUGGGACUUUAGAGCCUGAACAAAAAAAGAAACCCGGAACAAAUACCUUUAACCACUUGUUUUUGCAAAUAAUGCAAUGAAACAUGAAUCUACUGGUUUUUCACCGUUUGAAUUAAUGUUUGGUAGGAAACCAAUAUUAGCAAUUGAUAACAUGUUUCACAUUGAUAAUGAAUAUUUUAUGUCUACAGAUUAUGUUUAAGAUAAAAAAAACAGGACUGAAUUCGCUCAAAAUAUAGCCAAUAGAAACUUAGCCGAAGCCAGAUCAAAACAGAAGAUGAGUUACAACAAGAAAGCAAAAGCUGCAUCACUGCAAGUUGGUGAUAAGGUAUUGGUUAAAAUUUUUGCAUUUUCCGGACCACACAAGCUUUCAGGUAAGUAUGAACAACCUAUAUAUGAAGUUGUGGAAAGACCAAAUGAUGAUAUUCCAGUGUAUGUAGUUAAAGAUCCAGACGGUAAAAAAAAAAGUUGCACAGGAAUCAUUUGUUACCUGUAGCCGAGGUCGAACCAGACUCAAAUUUACAAGAAAUGACAAAAUAACCUUAAGUUAAAAACAGAUUAAAUAAAGGAACACCUACAGAAACCUUUUCCAAAACCUAGAGCCAAACAGGUUCUGGUACACCUUGUUUCAUAUUUCAUAUUUAGAAUACGUCCGGCUGAAGUUGAGAAAUGGUGUAGUUGUAUCGAGCAAUCCUUCUAAAUAGACAAAGGUUUUUAGUUUGAUUGUGGUUUAUUUCUAUCCUAGAUUAUUUAGUCUCGCGUUAUAUGCUAUUAUUUCGCGUGUAUUCAGAUUAUUUACAACGAUACUUGGGUUGUCAAAAUAACUACUUUUGUUCUGUCUAAUUUGCAUGAACACUUUAUUCCCACAGUACAGGCGUGAGAGAGAAACUUGCCUAUGAUACUUCAAUGUCGUUAGGAGCUUAUGCUUUGACGUUUAUAGUAACAUUAUUUUGGCUAAGAAGAAUGGAAAGAUGUAACAGUUAAACAGUAUAAAGAACGAAACUAAAAGAUGUGUACUUAUUUCUUACAGCCACUACCCAGAAUGUCCCCCUGUAACAUUAAUAAUAAUUAGUGUCUAGCUACAUUUGUCAUCCAAUGAAAACACUGUAUUUCUUAAAUAUUAUGUUUGUUAAUUUUCAAGAACAAAAUUCGAUACAGUAUAUCAAAUAAGAUUUAAAGUCACCGUCUAUUUGUCAUAGCACGUCGUAGAACCGCGUUCAUAAAAUAGUCGUGACGUAAUAAAGUAAAUAUUAUGCAGAUUGACACUAAAUAUGUUAAUAUUCAUCCCUAGCUGUCCUACAGAUACAGAAAUUAGAAACUAUCGCUCCCGUCGAAGUUUCUAAUUGCUGUAGGACAAGACGGAUGUACGCAUAUAUAGAUUUAUUAUUCUGUAAAAACGGAAUGAGCAAAGAUCUAAAAUUUGCACACAAGAUAUUGAUAUUAGACCUACAUGAAAUGGAAUGUUCAUUUUGAAAAAAAUAUUUCCAGUCAUGUCAUGUCAAAAACUCAGUGGAGUUCCUUUAAUGACGAAUCAUUUUACGAAAAACGCGAACAGUAACAGUCCCAAUGCAUUCGUGUUCCAGAUUAUAACUUAAAUUCUGUAACGUCAUGGGUUUAUAAAGACAUAAGUAUAUGUGCUCUAAAAUUUACUUUGAUAUUUCUUCAUCUGUACUAUACAGUAAAGUUCUUCUUCAGAGAUGCUUCCUUUAUAUGUAUGCAACAGAAUCUCUUCUACUG